rnacentral:rRNA from 1 species
CCCUUAGAUGUCCUGGGCCGCACGCGCGUUACACUGGUGCAUUCAACGAGCUUAUAACCUUGGCCGAGAGGCCUGGGCAAUCUUGUUAACGUGCAUCGUGAUAGGGAUAGAUUAUUGAAAUUAUUAAUCUUGAACGAGGAAUUCCUAGUAAACGCAGAUCAUCAAUCUGCAUUGAUUACGUCCCUGCCCUUUGUACACACCGCCCGUCGCACCUACCGAUUGGAUGGUCCGGUGAAGCCUCGGGAUUGUGGUUCUUGCCGCUUUAUUGUGGCGUGACCGCGAGAACUUGUCUAAACCUUAUCAUCUAGAGGAAGGUGAAGUCGUAACA